CCUAGUUAAUCCUCACAUGACUUCCUGCCAAAGAUGCUGAGUUGUCUCCACUUUCCAGAAUAGUCAGCUCCUCUUCAAGGGGCAGACAUGUAUCUCCUUUGGCAGGAAGGGACACAAUGAAAGAAAGAGUCCCACAGGCCAGGGUGGUGAGGGAAGGAGACAGAAGACAAGACGGGAGAGAAGACAAGUGGGCUUUGUCGUUUCCUGUGUGACCUCAGACAGAUGCCUGACUUUUACACCCAGUGAACCAGUUUCCCCAUCUGCAAAGCACACCUUUGGACUGGGUCAUCUCAAACGUCCCCUGCAGACUUACCUCUGUGCUUCUGUGCUCUACUGUGCCUUUACAGACAAGUCACCUACCCAAAGGCAUGUGCUCCAGAGUGCUGGCCUAACACCGCAGAGCUCAGCCACCAGGGAGGCUGCAGAGCAGAGGGCAAGCAGCUGCUGGGGCCCGGAGACCCGGAUUCGGGUCUUGUUUUUGGUGCAAGCCUGGUGAUCUUGUGUGUGAGCUUCAGUUUCCCAGUCAGUUUUUAAAAGAGCCUGAUGAAACUUUAAUAGACUUUAUGUGCGUUACACAGAGUAAUUGCAGGUGAGAGCCCUUGAAACUCCCCAAAUGCUAUAUUAAAAAAUUAAAUGUGUC